AGAUUCUAUAGCAAAAACCCUGGAAUUGCUUGGGUCUCUCGGUUUUUCACAAGUUUUCAUCUUAUUCAAAAUUCUACAGUCCGACUCAAGCUCGGGACCCUGGUGAAUUCGUGUUAGGGCCGAACUUUUGUUAACUGUCUCAAAAAUAGGGUUAAAGAUGUUUCAGUUUGAAUGGAUUAGUUGUUUUUUUGGUAAGACAUUUGUGGGAUUUAAACAUGACUUAGCGUUGCAAUUGUCAAUAAAAUGGCCUGACUAAUAAUUAGGGUUGGGCUUGAUUAGCUACUCAUUGAUGAUU
rnacentral:lncRNA from 1 species